CUAAACUUGUCUGCAACUGACAUGUUCCUCUACUUAUAUAACUUAAGCUUACUCAUGCCUAUCUUAAUCAAACGUACAUGUACUAUUAGUAUCCUGCUAUACAACACGAGCUAUUAGUAAAAUGUUUAAUAAUCGACAAUCUCGCCGGAGAUUCCGGCUCGGUAACUUAGCUAGGCUUGUCCAGUUACGGCAAAGCGUAAGCAACCAACCACCAUCACCGCAACAACCGCCAUUGCCACCAAAGGAUCUUAAAGAAGUUUUGUUACAAUCGCCACCACAGUCACAAGCAUUUCAGCGGCCUCCAUAUCAAUUGCCAUCGCCAAUGCCAUCACCAUCAACACUCCCACCAUCUAUAUCAAAACCUGGUGAAAAUCACCAGUCUUCGCCACGGCUGGAACCAAAGUCAUCACCACGGUCACCAGCAUUUCAGACACAACCGCAGUCACCUUCACGUCUGCCCCCUCCAAAUCAGUUUUCAUCUCCCAUGCCAUCACCAUCAACACUUCCGCCGCGGCCUGAACCGAAAGCAUCACCACCGUCACUUUUAUCACCAAAAUCAAAGGACGAAUCUCAACAGCAGACAACAACAUCAUCAACGUCUCCUUCGCCGCAAAAACCGAGCCUAUCUCAGCGGUUACCUCUACGAUCGGUGCCUCCUCAACCUCCGGAACCAAAGUCACCAGCAUUUCAGCCACAACCGCAGUCACCUUCAUUACUGCCCCCUUCACCAUCAACAUUUCCACCGUCUCUUACAGAAUCUAGUGAAAAUCCGCCACGUGUAGUACCAGAACCAAAAGCCUCACCACCGCCACUUUUACCACCAAACUCAAAGGAAGUGCUUCACCCGCAGACAACGUCACCACUAACACCAGAAGCAAAAAAACUACAGCCCCUUCCGUCAACGCUAAGCGCUCCUUUAGUAUAUCAAUCCCCACUAUCUUCAACACCGUCUAAAUCAAUUGAUGAAACUCGGUUCCAAUCACCGCCCCCGUCGCAAGUAUCACCACCCUCAUUAACAGAAUCCCAUGAAUCUAAGCUGUCAAAAUCUACUGAGGAUACUCAGUUCCGAUCACUAUCUCCGUCGCUGGCCUCACCACCAUCAUUGUUAAAAUCCGAUGAAUCUCAGACGGCUUUACCGCCACCAGAAACCAAAACUCCGCUGUCUCCACCCUCAACGCUUAAAGAAUUUCAGCCGCAGCUGUCACCACCGCUUCCACCGUCUAAAUCCAAUGUUGAAACUCAUUUCAAGUCUUUGCUUCCUUCGCAAGCAUCACCACCAUUAUCAUCAUCGUCUAGGUCUGGUGAACAUCAACCACCUUUAGCAACAGAAGCUAAAAUCCGUCCAUUGCCACCGUCGUUUUUAGAAACCGGCGAAAAUCAGCCGCUUUUAGCACCAUCAGAUAUUAAAGCUCCAAAGUCAACGCUAAAGGCCGCAGAAGAAUCCCUGCCCGAACCGCCUACACUGCUUUUGCCGUCUAAAGUAACUAUGUCCCAAUCAUCGCCUCCACUGCCACCGUCAUUAUCAGAAUCUGGUGAACUUCAACAGCCUUUGCCACCGACAGAAUAUAAAAUUCCACCACCACCACCGCCAUUGUUAGAAUCCGGUGAAUCUCAGCUGCCUUUACCACCACUACCAGAAACCAAAAUUCAACCGUCAAAGCUAAACGCUGCUAAAGAAUUCCAGUCUCCACCACUUGUUCCGUCUAAAGCCAUUGAUGAAUCUCGUCUGCCGCAUUUGCCACCAACAGAAACCAAAACUCCACCGUCAACGCUAUACGCUACUGAAGAAUCCCUGCCUCCACCGGUUAAAGCCACAGAUGAAACUCUGUCCCAAUCGUCAGAAACUGGUGAACCUCAACAUCCCUUGCCACCACCAAAAGCUAAAAUUCCACUGCCGCCACCAUCAACGCAAAACGCUGCUGUAAAACCCCAGUUUCAACCGCUUCCUGCCUCUACAUUCAAUGAUGAGACUCCGUUCAAAUCAUCGCCUCAACCACCACUAGAAUCUAAAAUUACACCGUCGAAGCUAAACACUAAUGAAGAAUCCACGCGUCAACCGUCUAAAUCCAUUGAUGAAACUCGGUCCCAAUCAUCACCUCCUUGGCAAUCAUCUAUACAGCCACGAGAAGCCAAAACUCCACCGUCAAAGCUAAACGCUAGUAAAGAAGAAUCCCAUGUCCAACCGCUUCCUCCCUCGCUGCCACUACCUGAAUCUAAUAUGCCACCACCACCACCAUCGCCCCAAACUAAACCUAACCCAAUCGAAUCUCGCACUUCAAAAGAUCAUCGCAAGGAUCGAAACCAAUAUCUAGAUAAACCAGACGCCGAACUCAGGGCUGAGAUCACCGGGGAAGUUAAGAAAACACCGACGAUGAUGAUGUUCAUCAACAGCAAUGUUCAAGGGAUCAACACAUCACUCUCGCUCGAUUCUGUGAAACUAAUACUCCUAUAUGUGUUUUGAUUUCAACAGGCACCAGACCAGGUCAAGAAUCAUUUCGGAGAAGCUUGUAUGAGUCUGAGCUCAGCUUCUUCAAAAAUCUUGAGAGAGUUAGCGGAUAUGAUCAAGAACACGAGAAAAUCUUCGAAGAUGGAUUACCUGGUGUUUGAUAUGAACUCAGCAGUACAAGAGCUUCAAGAAACCUUAAAAAUUGUUCCCAUAGAAAUCAACAGACCUGAAGACGAUGUUAAAUCUGAAAAGGACAAGGAAGGAGACAGAACCAUGGCGAUGAGCCUACAUGAAAUCCUUCCAGUUGCCACUUUGGUUUCGUUGUUGAUCGAAAACGCAGCUAGGAUUCAAACAACCGUCGAAGCAGUGGAUGAACUGGCAAAUCUUGCAGAUUUCAAACAAGAUUCAAAGAAGAAAACAGGAGGCAACAACGCUUAACAAGCACCACUAAGUUCUUAAAUUACUUUCAUAUUACACAUUGAAAACUCUUAACAAACAUGAAGAUUUUAAACCUGAGUUUUCAUGUAUAUAUAAAAACCUAUUAGUAUAUGAUUUUGCUUUGUUCUGUAACCUAAGGUUUAUUCGGCAUGGUUUUGAAGGCCAAAAAAGCAAGUUAUGGAACUAAAUAUUUACAACGUUUAAGAGUCCAUCCACAAUGAAACAUAAACAAAUUUCACCAUAGAAAACAAGAAUGCGAUUAUAGAUGGAUAAAACACAAAAGUAAACUUUGACUUUGUUGAUGUAAUCUUAGUUACAAUCUUUGGUUGUUUCAUUAAGUAACCCAUACAAGAUUUGUAACAACAAGUUCAUUACAGAUUCUCUCAAAUUCCAUUAAGACAUCAAACACAAUCCCAGAUUUGCCUCUUGUAACCAACAUCUUGACCAAGCCCUUCAAGUGUUUACCAAACUUACCUCUCUCAACAACUUCAUUGACUAAGCCCUUGUUAUUGUUCCUCUUCUUGUCUUCUCCCACAAGAAACGCCAUCAGCCUUCUGACAUCUUCUUGAGCCCGACCAAGACAGUUCUUCGAUUGACAAACGCUAACGAGCGCCGCAGCAAAUCCCGACGCCGCUUUCUCGUGAAUCUGAGGAGGAGAUGGUGGCGGUGGAGCUCUCGAGGGUUUUGUGUUCGGAAGUGGUAACGAGAUUCCUCUAGGGAAGGUAAGGUUUUUGUGGUGGGAGAAGGAAGAUGGAGAAGACGAUGUUGGUGGUUUUGAAAGAUUUGUCGAGGUUGAGUUAACGGUGGGUUUAAAGCGGCCGGAGAAGGACCUACGAGGUAGUGGAGGGAGGUUCAAGGAUGAAAUGGAUGCUGAGAGAGUCUCCAUGGAAGACGUUUCGAUAUUAUCCACCUGAACGAGAAAUGAAUGUUUCAAACAUUAUCAUAUAUCUUUUUCCAUAAUAUGCAUUUUGUUGAAUAAAAAUAUGGAAUAUCAGUAAAAUAUUGUUUUAUACUGCCCCCAUAUACCCAAAACACUUAAUGGGCCUAAUAUUUGUUACCUAUGGUCCAAUAUUAGCACUUGACAUUAAAAAGAAUAUAGAAAGUAUAUCUAUCUGAACACGUGAUUUGUGCAAAAGAUAUAAAGAAUCAAAUACUUGUCUUCGGUUUAUGGAUAUACUUUGUGUGAAUAAGGUCUAUAUCGUGUAGGCUAAACUUGUCUGCAACUGACAUGUUCCUCUACUUAUAUAACUUAAGCUUACUCAUGCCUAUCUUAAUCAAACGUACAUGUACUAUUAGUAUCCUGCUAUACAACACGAGCUAUUAGUAAAAUGUUUAAUAAUCGACAAUCUCGCCGGAGAUUCCGGCUCGGUAACUUAGCUAGGCUUGUCCAGUUACGGCAAAGCGUAAGCAACCAACCACCAUCACCGCAACAACCGCCAUUGCCACCAAAGGAUCUUAAAGAAGUUUUGUUACAAUCGCCACCACAGUCACAAGCAUUUCAGCGGCCUCCAUAUCAAUUGCCAUCGCCAAUGCCAUCACCAUCAACACUCCCACCAUCUAUAUCAAAACCUGGUGAAAAUCACCAGUCUUCGCCACGGCUGGAACCAAAGUCAUCACCACGGUCACCAGCAUUUCAGACACAACCGCAGUCACCUUCACGUCUGCCCCCUCCAAAUCAGUUUUCAUCUCCCAUGCCAUCACCAUCGACAGUUCCGCCGCGGCCUGAACCGAAAGCAUCACCUCCGUCACUUUUAUCACCAAAAUCAAAGGACGAAUCUCAACCGCAGACAACAACACCAUCGACGUCAAAACCGCCUCCAUCGCCGCAAAAACCGAGCCCAUCUCAGCGGUUACCUCUACGAUCGGUGCCUCCUCAAC
rnacentral:lncRNA from 1 species